AAUGGAUCUGACCAUGAUGGAAUGAAGCAGUGGAUGAAAGGCAACUGGGAGCAUAUCUCAACCCUAAAAAGUUAUAUGCAGAAGACCGUCUUAAAUCGAUCAGAAUGGAUUAGAAAAACGCCACAACUUACAAUACUAGAGGUUAUGAAAGAAUACCCUCGACUUUUUGAUGUCCCUGGCAUGGUUGAAAUAGACUUUGCAACAUUGUAUCCAGAUGUCGCGGAUAAUCUUUUUCUGCGUUUUACACCAGAAACAGUGGAGAAAAUAAUUUGUUACGCAGAUACACAAACAGAAAAAUGGACAAGAUACUUGAAUAUUGCGACAAGAAACCUGAAUUCCG